UACGUAGGGGGCGAGCGUUGUCCGGAAUCAUUGGGCGUAAAGCGCGUGUAGGCGGUCCGGUAAGUCCGCUGUGAAAGUCGAGGGCUCAACCCUCGAAUGCCGGUGGAUACUGUCGGGCUUGAGUACGGGAGAGGCGAGUGGAAUUCCUGGUGUAGCGGUGAAAUGCGCAGAUAUCAGGAGGAACACCGAUUGCGAAGGCAGCUCGCUGGAACGUUACUGACGCUGAGACGCGAAAGCGUGGGGAGCAAACAGG
rnacentral:rRNA from 1 species